rnacentral:rRNA from 1 species
AGGAUUAACGCUGGCGGCGUGCCUAACACAUGCAAGUCGAACGAGGUAGCAAUACCUAGUGGCAGACGGGUGAGUAGCGCGUGGUCAACCUACCGUUGAGUGGGGGAUAACUAGCCGAAAGGUUAGCUAAUACCGCAUACGUCUCCGAGGGGCAUCCCUUGGCGAUAAAAGGAGCAAUCCGCUCGAUGACGGGACCGCGUCCCAUUAGCUAGUUGGUGGGGUAACGGCCUACCAAGGCGUCGAUGGGUAGCUGGUUUGAGAGAGCGACCAGCCACACUGGGACUGAGAUACGGCCCAGACUCCUACGGGAGGCAGCAGUGAGGAAUUUUCCGCAAUGGGCGAAAGCCUGACGGAGCGACGCCGCGUGUGGGAAGAAGGCCUUCGGGUCGUAAACCACUGUCGAAGGGGAAGAUAAUGACGGUACCCUUGGAGGAAGCCCCGGCUAACUACGUGCCAGCAGCCGC